rnacentral:rRNA from 1 species
UACGUAGGGGGCAAGCGUUGUCCGGAUUUAUUGGGCGUAAAGAGCGUGUAGGCGGCCAGACAGGUCCAUUGUGAAAACUCGAGGCUCAACCUCGAGACGUCGACGGAAACCGUCUGGCUAGAGUCCGGAAGAGGAGUGUGGAAUUCCUGGUGUAGCGGUGAAAUGCGCAGAUAUCAGGAAGAACACCUAUGGCGAAGGCAGCACUCUGGGACGGUACUGACGCUGAGACGCGAAAGCGUGGGGAGCGAACAGG